rnacentral:snRNA from 1 species
AGCUUUGACGCAGUGGCGUACCAUAGCCAAUGAGGUUCAACCGAGGCGGUUAUUGCUAAGUUGAAAAUUACCCCAAUACCCCGAUUGACGACGUGAAAUACCGUCGGCUUUGAAAUUUUGGAGGCCUCUCCGGAGG